UCCUAAAGCCAAUAGAGAAAGGUAGAAACACAAAUGUGAAAUGUUAAUGUUUUGGUUCUGAGGUGUUGGCUCUUGUCCCCAUAUGGUGUAGUUUCAUCAGACAACAAUUCUUAUUAACUGACUUUGGUCUAGCAUUAGUUGGUACCACAAAAGUAAUUUAGCUAAGGCUUCAAAAUUGGAUGUUGUGUUUUCCUCUUACAGUGCAGAGCCAAUAAGAUGAAAAGGUUGAUUUUAAUCUCAGUUAUGCAUCUCCCGUGUCUCUUUUAUGCUCAUUGUUGCUACAUGCUUGCUUCAGAGAGGACUAUGUUAGUUUACUUCCCACUGAUGUUGUAUAUAGUUGCAUGUUUUCUUAGACUAUUUUAUUUGACCUACAGAAAUGUUCCCUUGCUUUGGUUGGAUGGGUGUAGGAGCAGCAAGCAUCGCCACCACACAGAAAACUCCAGUAACUUCUUGCCCCUUCCAGCCUCGGUGAGAUGGCAUCGUAUUUUUUGUAUGUGUACAUUUCUGCUUGUGGUGGCAUUUUUGCAAUCCUUUACUUUGGGUUUUGAUUUUUUUUUCGUUUCAUGGUUGUUGUCGCAUGAUCACGAACGACUUCAAGCUGAAGAUGUUGAACCAUGCGAUGCAAGAAUUAUUCUUUUGGGCUCCUAUGGAAGGUAUUAUUCUCGUGCAAAACCAUAUUCUCCCCUCUUUCUUGAUCUAUUAGGGUCAUAAAUCUGGAAUCGUGGUUUACUACUUGAAAGUCCAUGGUCAGUCUUAGCCUCAUUCUCUUGAUUAACAGCAGAUUUAUGCUCUUCCUGUUGUAUUCAGUCAAGGAACGUACAUAGAUAUUGGAAGCUAUACACUAUAAUGGAAUUUCUUCUGCUCUCGUAUGGAAACCUGCAACACACUGAAUGUUUUAUUUGUCGAUGACAAUGAAUUACUCAUGUUUUGUCUAAAAAAUGUGAAACAAUUCUUAUUUGCACUUUCUGCAGACUCAUGUAAUUGCUGUCAAGAACACUGUCAGUUCAGCGGUUGUCAUCAUGCAAGCAAUUGGCCGCUGAUCUGCUUGCCCUUUGUACUACUAAAGGUGGCAUCAUACAGCGAAGCAGGGGAUAUGGAUCAAAAGCCGCAAUGGUGCGCGUGACGACAUGUCUAACACUUGCCUGACCCUGGACUCUGGCUUCUUCUUGCAAGUUGACCAUACUAUUGUGAGAAUCUCGGCCAGGAUCAUUCUUUAUAUCAUGUUGGAUCAUCUUGGAAUUUGUAGAGUAAUUUAUCGUCUAAGGAUGUACUCACAGAACACAAUCACUGUGGUUGUGCUUUUCUACACUUCUGUCCAGAGCAAUGGGAUAUGUAUUCUGUACUGUAUGGCUACCCUCUAAUGCAUUUCUCAGACUUCAGUCUCUCUCUUUCUGCACAAAUGACUUGGUCUAAUUAUUAUGAAAGACCUGUGGAGUGUGUUGCUUUCUAUAUAAAUAACUCGCUCUAAUUCCGAUUUAUCAUAUUGCAUAGCUUUUGAUCUAUUGCAUUUUGCCAAACUUGAUGCGUCAAGAUUUGAGCUACUAUAUUGAAAGCAAAGGUAAAAUUCCAAUGCACUCUCCAGCAGCAUGCUCAUAUCGCCUACUAAUCCAUUA